GGAUUGUGGCUCAGUGGCAGAGCACUUGCCUUGCAUGUUGGAGACAUUGGGUUCAAUCCUCAGCACCA
rnacentral:tRNA from 1 species